UGGGGAAUAUUGGACAAUGGGCGAAAGCCUGAUCCAGCCAUGCCGCGUGAGUGACGAAGGCCUUAGGGUUGUAAAACUCUUUCGUCGGGGACGAUAAUGACGGUACCCGAAGAAGAAGCUCCGGCUAACUUCGUGCCAGCAGCCGCGGUAAUACGAAGGGAGCUAGCGUUGUUCGGAAUCACUGGGCGUAAAGCGCACGUAGGCGGAUAGUUAAGUCAGGGGUGAAAUCCUGGGGCUCAACCCCAGAACUGCCUUUGAUACUGGCUGUCUCGAGGUCGAGAGAGGUUGGUGGAAUUCCUAGUGUAGAGGUGAAAUUCGUGGAUAUUAGGAAGAACACCAGUGGCGAAGGCGGCCAACUGGCUCGAUACUGACGCUGAGGUGCGAAAGCGUGGGGAGCAAACAGGAUUAGAUACCCCCGUAGUCCCUGAGCGGGCUGGCAAGGCGCAU
rnacentral:rRNA from 1 species